rnacentral:lncRNA from 1 species
GAGAGCAAGAACAGCCCGCAGGUCCCGAGGCGCUUGCAGGGGACUCUGCCGCGGAAAGUUCCCAGUCCCCAGCCGCAGAAGCUUUUUAUUUUUGGUUGAUUCCUGCUGUCUACUCCUCUUGGAUGCCUUUGUGAAACUGCUUCUAUCUGAGAAGGAGGAGUUGCCAUUUAGCAAGUAGUAGGUGGUACCGUGUGUGGCAGAGUCCGAUGUGUUACACCACGAGGACAUUCAUCUUUGCAAUUGGUGAAGUCCUUCUACCUAGUUCCCCUUCCUUGUGCACAGAAGAGGACUGGAAAACUCCUCACAGGACUGCAUACUGCUAUCUCUGAGAAGUUUCGGUGUGAAAUCAUAUCUUAUUGAAAAUAUGGAUGUAACAUGUUGACACCACAGAAACCCUCAUAACGUAGGCUGCCAGUUGAUCACCCUUUCUACUCCACCUGGGGCAAAGCUGAUUUCAGACACACCUCAGAGAGACCAGAAAGAAGAAAGUACCUCUUCCUUCCAAGCUUCUACCUAAGAGUAUACUGGAAGGUUUACCUAGAGCAACAAGACAACGAAAUGGAUUGUCCUUCUCACGCUAGUCCACACACAAUCCUCAUCAUUUUGAUAAGAUAGCAUGAAGUCUCUUAUCGCUUGUGGAUCCAGCACUUUGGUUCAGGUUCAUCUGCCCAUAAUUCUCUAAGAUUUGGAGCUGUUGAGGAGUGGCUCAUAGUAGACACUGAACCAUCAGCCAACAGCAUUUGUUGUCCUGGAUGUCUGUGCCAACCUUUCGAGUCACACUGGGGUCUAAAGACACACCUGGAAUAAAAAUCAGAAUGCUUAAGAAACUUAAUAUGAUCUGCGGGAGAAUACAUGAGGUUUUUGUUUCAUACCACAGUCUGAUGACAGCAUGGAUUUCAACUGAUGAUGUUCACCUUUGCCUCUUGGAUGGUGAAGAUACAUAUAUGCACUGUGGUGGCUUGAGAAAGAAUGCUCCUCACAUUGACUUAUAUAUUUGAAUACUUGAUGCUCCAUUAGAACUCUUUGGGAAGGAUUAGGAGGUCAAUAUGUGAGCUCAGAGAUUUCCCUGCUUUUGUUCUGUCAUUAUGGAUUCUAAACUUCUGAAACUACAUACUCAAUUAAAUGUUUUCUUUUAUAAAU